CAGCCGCCACGGUAAAACGAAGGGGGCUAGCGUUGUUCGGAAUUACUGGGCGUAAAGGGUGUGUAGGAGGCCAGGUAAGUCAGGUGUGAAAUCUCAGAGCUUAACUCUGAAACUGCGCUUGAUACUGCUUGGCUAGAGGAUCGGAGGGGGUAACGGAAUUUAUGGUGUAGCAGUGAAAUGCGUAGAUAUCAUAAGGAACACCGGUGGCGAAGGCGGUUACCUGGAAGAUUCCUGACUCUGAAACACGAAAGCCAGGGGAGCAAACGGGAUUAGAUACCCCCCGUAGUCCCUGUCUCUUAUA
rnacentral:rRNA from 1 species